AGUGAACGCUGGCGGUAGGCCUAACACAUGCAAGUCGAACGGCAGCACAGUAAGAGCUUGCUCUUACGGGUGGCGAGUGGCGGACGGGUGAGGAAUACAUCGGAAUCUACUUUUUCGUGGGGGAUAACGUAGGGAAACUUACGCUAAUACCGCAUACGACCUGCGGGUGAAAGCAGGGGAUCUUCGGACCUUGCGCGAUUGAAUGAGCCGAUGUCGGAUUAGCUAGUUGGCGGGGUAAAGGCCCACCAAGGCGACGAUCCGUAGCUGGCCUGAGAGGAUGAUCAGCCACACUGGAACUGAGACACGGUCCAGACUCCUACGGGAGGCAGCAGUGGGGAAUAUUGGACAAUGGGCGCAAGCCUGAUCCAGCCAUACCGCGUGGGUGAAGAAGGCCUUCGGGUUGUAAAGCCCUUUUGUUGGGAAAGAAAAGCAGCAGGUUAAUACCCCGCUGUUCUGACGGUACCCAAAGAAUAAGCACCGGCUAACUUCGUG
rnacentral:rRNA from 1 species